UACGUAGGGGGCUAGCGUUGUCCGGAAUCAUUGGGCGUAAAGAGCGUGUAGGCGGCCCGGUAAGUCCGCUGUGAAAGUCGGGGGCCCAACCCUCGAAUGCCGGUGGAUACUGUCGGGCUAGAGUCCGGAAGAGGCGAGUGGAAUUCCCGGUGUAGCGGUGAAAUGCGCAGAUAUCGGGAGGAACACCUAUGGCGAAGGCAGCUCGCUGGGACGGUACUGACGCUGAGACGCGAAAGCGUGGGGAGCAAACAGG
rnacentral:rRNA from 1 species